UGCAUGUACACAUACGGUUGAGAAAAUACCGAGCUGCAGUGGAACAACCUGGAGUUAGAGAACUUCAAGUACAAGAUCAACGAGGUGACCGGCAUUAUGGUGGCUGUGUACGGCGGCGACCACAAGUUCUUCGAUGCUGGGCUUUCAUGUUUCUUCGUGAGCAUCAGGACAAAGAAGUCGGAGGAAGCAUAGUUCUAACAUUGCUGUCAAGUGUCAAGUUUUGCA